rnacentral:tRNA from 1 species
GUCCAAGUGGCCUAAUGGAUAAGGCACUGGCCUCCUAAGCCAGGGAUUGAGAGGUCGACUUCCAUCUAGGGUG